CGCAUCUGUGCAUGCAGCAUAUCAAUAAGCGGAGGAAAAGAAACUAACAAGGAUUCCCCUAGUAACGGCGAGUGAAGCGGGAAGAGCUCAAAUUUGAAAUCUUAAAGGGUUUCCCUUUACGAAUUGUAGUUUAAAGAAGUGUUUUCUGUUGAGGUUUUGGUAAAAGUUCUUUGGAAUAGGACAUCAUAGAGGGUGAGAAUCCCGUAUUUGACCUUUACUUUCAACUUUGUGAUACACUUUCAAAGAGUCGGAUUGUUUGGGAAUGCAGUCCAAAGUGGGUGGUAAAUUUCAUCUAAAGCUAAAUAUUGGCGAGAGACCGAUAGCGAACAAGUACCGUGAGGGAAAGAUGAAAAGAACUUUGAAAAGAGAGUUAAACAGUACGUGAAAUUGUCAAAAGGGAAGCGUUUGACACCAGUGUUGUUUUUCUGAAAAUCAAUUAAAGAAUUGUUUAUGCUAAGCUGUCUAGACUUUAUCAGCUAACUGUUUAGUUUUGAGCUUUUCUUUAAUGCACUUUUCAGUUAACAAGUCAACAUCAAUUUCUUUUGCUGUAAAAAAGCUUGAGGAAGGUGGCUUGAGAUUCGUCUUAAGUGUUUAUAGCCUCUUGCCUAUGCAGUCGGAGAGAUUGAGGUCUGCAGCGUAGAUCCUUCGGGGCUAAAUGCAUUUGUGCUAAGUUAUAGCAUUUUAUAGACAACUUGUUGACUAUGAUUUGUCUUGUAGCUUACUCGCUUAUGUUAUUUUACCUACGCUUAGGAUGUUGAAUCUGUGCGAGACUAC
rnacentral:rRNA from 1 species